rnacentral:rRNA from 1 species
AUUGAACGCUGGCGGCAGGCCUAACACAUGCAAGUCGAGCGGAUGAAGGGAGCUUGCUCCUGGAUUCAGCGGCGGACGGGUGAGUAAUGCCUAGGAAUCUGCCUUGUAGUGGGGUAUAACGUCCGGAAACGGGCGCUAAUACCGCAUACGUCCUUAGGGAGAAAUUGGGGGAUCUUCGGACCUCACGCUAUCAGAUGAGCCUAGGUCGGAUUAGCUAGUUGGUGGGGUAAAGGCCUACGAAGGCGACGAUCCGUAACUGGUAUGAGAGGAUGAUCAGUCACACUGGAAAUGAGAAACGGUCCAGACUCCUACGGGAGGCAGCAGUGGGGAAUAUUGGACAAUGGGCGAAAGCCUGAUCCAGCCAUGCCGCGUGUGUGAAGAAGGUCUUCGGAUUGUAAAGCACUUUACGUUGGGACGAAGGGCAGUAAGUUAAUACCUUGCUGUUUUGACGUUACCAACAGAAUAAGCACCGGCUAACUUCGUG